rnacentral:lncRNA from 1 species
AUUCUCUUCUUCCUGUUAUUGGUGGUUAUGAAGGUUAGAUAUUUUUUUCCAUGGGGUCAAAAGAUACCUAAGUGUAUGAUUGCAAGUGGAAAAAUAGGGGAUAGAAAUCAGGUAAUGGCAUUUUUUCAAUUUUCAUUUGUGUGUAAAUUUUUAAUAUAAAUGUGGAGAUGUAAAGCAUUAAUGCAAGUUAAAAUGUUUCAGUGAACAGGUUUCAGCAGUUCAACUUUAUAAUAAUUAUAAAUAAACCUGUUAAAUUUUUCUAGACAAUGCCAGCAUUAGCAUUUUUUUAAAAACAAGUAAAUUUCUUAUUGACAGCAACUAAAUGGUGUUUGUAGCAUUUUUAUCACACAGUAGAUUCCAUCCAUUCACUAUGUUUUUCUAACUGAGUUGUCCUACAUGCAAUACAUGUUUUUAAUGUUGUCUGUCUGCUGUGCUGUUCCUGUAAGUAUGCUAUUAAAA